GCCGGGUGUAGUGGUGCACGCCUGUAGUCCCAGCUACUUGGGAGGCUGAGGCAGAAGAAUCGCUUGAACUCGGGAGGCAGAGGUUGCAGUGAGCCGUGAUGGCGCCACUGCACUCCAGCCUGGGUGACAGAGCGAGACUCCGUCUCAA
rnacentral:SRP_RNA from 1 species